GGGCCAGUGGCGGAAUUGGUAUACGCGCACGACUUAAGAUCGUGUCCCGCAAGGGAUGUGGGUUCGAUGCCCACCUGGCCCACCG
rnacentral:tRNA from 2 species